UCAAGACAAUCUGCGAUUGUAUGGCUGAAGUGGACAUACAUAUCUUUACUGGAUGCGGAAAAGGCAAAUUCACUUUGUUUCCAUUUGAUGUUUGUUGUUGUUCUUCGGAGCUGCCUUCUUGGAUCCUUGAUCAGCAUGAAAAGAGGGAGCCUGCCUGGCAUUCCUGGUCUUUUGUACCUCCCAGAUUCUUAAUCACCAUCAAGAUGAGGGGAGUGUGGUUGGCGUCUUGGAGUUGUGUCCAAAAUUUGGAGUGGAGUAACAGAAGAAACUACUGACAAUCUUCGUGGUGGUGUAGCCUGCUGUGGUUUGGACUGGACAUCCGACCUUGCUUUCUUUGGUGGCACAUGUGUCCAUUUUUUGUGUGGGUCAGGAGGGCCUCUUGUGCUGCUCAAGCCUUGUAUUGAGGGACCUAGGAUUUAAGUGUAAAAAUUUGUAUGUCCAUUCCUUUACAAACAUAACCUGUACUACAAUGGGCACUUUACCUGCUUCCGCAGCUUCAUCAUCAUCAGAUGUCAUGGCACUGACUGUAGGGCGAGCAGUUGUGCUUUUUUUCAACACUGUACAUCAUGAAAAAAAUAAAAUAAUUGGAAUUUGGAUAAUGCAUUUGUUCAACAUUUGAGCCA